ACUGAAAUAGCUCAGUUGGUAGAGCGUCACACUAUAAAUCGAAAGGUCCUUGGCUCGAUCACCGGUUCCAGCA
rnacentral:tRNA from 1 species